UCAAGAAGCGCAAGAGCCCGAAAUUGAAAUGCCUUAACAAUCAGUGAGGUGACUUAAAUCACUGAACUGGGAAUUAUAUUGGACAACUGGUAACCAUGGGGAUUUUGUUACAUCAAAGUAAAGGUCCUGUCUGGAGAUAUUGCAGGCUGUGUUGCUACAGCUUCUUGAGUUACUUCAAAAUAGUUGAAAACUCAGCUUUUAUAUCAAGUUUCUUAAUUUUUAAAACUGGCUUUGUUUGCUGAAUCCAAGAGCACACAAAUGAGUCUGUGGUUUAGUUUAGCCUUUGGAUCCACCACUUAGAAACUGUUAUGGUAAUUGAAGUCAGGAAGGACCCAGCCUCUGAGAUCCCUGAGUUGGGGGAUGAAGAGAAAGGAACCAGGCUACUAGGUAAACUAGGUAUCCUGGUAAACUCUAGACCAAGCUUGUCCAACCCACAGCCGGAGGGCUGCAUGAGGCCCAAAACGGCUUUGAAUGUGGCCCAACACGGCUUUGAAUGUGGCCCAACACAAAUUUGUAAACUUUCUUAAAACAUUAUGAGAAUUUCUUGCGAUUUUUUUUUUUUUUUUUUUUUUUUAGUUCAUCAGCUAUCGCUAGUGUUACUGUAUUUCAUGGGUGACUCAAGACAAUUCUUCUUCCAAUGUGGCCCAGGGAAGCCAAAAUACUGGACACCCCUUGAGAGGGAAGGAAAGCCAUCCAGACACAGCCGUGAUGGUGUUCCAGCUGAAAAGGCUGCAGAGAAGGCUUUCACAACUAUUGGCAAUUUCUGAUCUUUGGGGAUAUUUCUGCUACAGUGUAGUAAGUUACUUGUUUGAUUCCACCAGGAUAGGAGUAUUAUCAAAAUCCACAGCCACCCUCAGUUCUUAGAAACUCAGAUGCCCUUGAAUGCAGGCAUUUACAGAAAAGAGAAUGAGUCAUUUGUAUAGAUGGAGCUAUUUACUGGAUGUUAUCAUUUUUAAUGCCAUAGUACUCUCUAUUUUCUUUCCUCUUACGUUCUCAUUAUCAAGUUUUCCUUUGGCACCUAUUUCUCCAGAUGCUAACAGUGAAUACAAUUUUCCUACCCAAAAAUUUCUUUCAAUUUUUGGGUAGGAACAAACAGACAUGAAUAUAAAUAACAGCAGGGGUAGUUUGCUCUUAAAGAUGUUCCCCGGGUGUUUCUUUCUUGGAGGACGCUAUAAUUGUCCAAUUUAACUCUGUUAGCAUUUUGGAGAAUAACAGAUACAUAGAACAGAUAUCCUUAUGGUAGAAUUAUCUGAGUGCAAAUUUGUUUAACGGCAAACAUUUAGUCAGUAAUUCAUAUGGAAGCUAAUAUUUUCCAUGGCACUCAGACACAGACAGCCAGUGAACGGAGGGCACCUGCCAUUACAUUCAUUCACUCAAAUACAUUCUAUUUGACCACACUGUCUUCCUUUUGGUGAGGAUUUGACUAAGAAUAACAUUUCUGGUUCCUUUGGAGCACUCAGUAGAGACACAUUAUUUUUUUGUUUACUUAUUUUCCUUUUGGGCAGUUGGAUCAAUAGGCACAUGAUCGAUUUCUCCCAAGACUGUGCACUCUUGGGUGGAAAUGAAAUUAUAUAGAAAGAAAAGAUUCAAAUAAAAAGCAAGGAAAAGAUCCCCUAAGGGUACAGGGGAGGGGAAAACAAAUUUUCUGUCUAGAAGCUUAAGCAUGUUUGACACACACACACACAAAAAUAGAGAAAACAGUGAUAUGCAGAGAAAAGAUGACAUCUGUUGCUCAUAGUCUACUGAAAAAUGUGUGACAAAUAUCUGUACAACAGUCCUCAUGGAGGUCAAAUUCCCUGUCUCUUCAAAAUUCCGUUUCUAUGUAUCCUUUAUCUUAUACACUUAGGGAAACAGUAGUGAGUUCUUAUAUGGUUUUCCUCAGAAGGAACUUCACUUCCGGACAUGAGCUUUAAUUCUUCUAAAAGCCGUCAGGGAUUCAGCCAUCAUGAAAAGGUCUUCAAUCAUGCACCUCAUUGGGC
rnacentral:lncRNA from 1 species